AUGGUCUUGACUCCUUCGUUCAUGCCUUCUCCCUCUCUACAACUGGAUUCCAGGAGUAUGGCUCAGUGCUUAGCUGUGCGUAUCGGCUUCUGCUUCUAUCAGUUACUGGAUGAAGGCUCUAGGAUGGCAUUUGAGGAGUCCCACUGCCAGAGAGAAGAAUGUGAACCAGUCUGCUCCCUCCUGACUGCUUCUUCCCUGAGACACAUCUGCAAAUAUCACGUGUCCUCUAGUGCAAUCGGCUAAAAAAUCUCUAUUGAAAGUUGAACUGGGUUAGGUUUUUAGAAAGCUGUGCUACUCUAGACAUCAUCUCUGUCUGGAUUACAUUAUUGUGGAGAAGAAUGAAUAGAACAGAACCAAGAAUAAAAACUUCACAUUUUUCUGAACA
rnacentral:lncRNA from 1 species